UACAGAGGUGGCAAGCGUUGUUCGGAAUUACUGGGCGUAAAGGGAGCGCAGGCGGCCAGGUCAGUCUGAAGUGCAAGCCCGGGGCUCAACCCCGGAAUUGCUUUGGAUACUACUUGGCUUGAGUACGUCAGAGGUGAGCGGAAUUCCAGGUGUAGCGGUGAAAUGCGUAGAUAUCUGGAGGAACAUCGGUGGCGAAAGCGGCUCACUGGGACGAAACUGACGCUGAGGCUCGAAAGCGUGGGGAGCGAAC
rnacentral:rRNA from 1 species